UAUGCUCAUAUCACAUCGAAACACCGGUUCUCUGAUGAUCACCGAAGUUAAGCAACGCCAAACCUGGUCAGUACUUAGAUGGGUGAACGCUUGGAAAUAUCAGAUGCUGUAAG